AUUGAACGCUGGCGGCAGGCCUAACACAUGUAAGUCGAGCGAGCGGCGGACGGGUGAGUAAUGUAUGGGGACUGCCCGAUAGAGGGGGAUAACUACUGGCAACGGUGGCUAAUACCGCAUACUAUCGGAUAACCCAUAUGGGAUUAGCUAGUAGGUGGGGUAAAGGCUCACCUAGGCGACGAGCUCUAGCUGGUGUGAGAGGAUGAUCAUCGACACUGGGACUGAGCCACGGCCCGGACUCCUACGGAGGCAGCGGUGGGGAAUAUUGCACGAUGGGCGAAAGCCUGAUGCAUCCAUGCCGCGUGGAUGAAGAGGGCCUUAAGGUUGUAAAGUACUAUCAGCGGGGAGGCGUUACCCGCAGAAGAAGCACCGGCUAACUCCGUGCCAGCAGCCGCGGUAAUAC
rnacentral:rRNA from 1 species